CUGCACUUAUUUCUUAAAAAAAUAGACAUUUUUGUAACAUUGGGAGUUAUUCAAAACGAACCCAAUUGCAAAUAUAAUUAUGCGAGUUAAAUAUAACAAUGGCAUUUAAAGGUUUGCAUUUAACGUUUGCAGUGGCCCGGGGUCACGUUUAAGAAAAGUUGGCAGCGUUAGUUGCUGGAGGAGUGAGUUGCGAGCGCUUGGAGCCAGUGCGGUGACUGGACACCGGCUCCCAGCGGACGCGGAGACCCCGCGGCCGUCCGGCCAGCACCAGGGAGAGGGUCGACACCUGGUGGGGAACCGGGCUCUGCGAUCGUGUGUUUCCCAAGGCAACAGCACCGAAUGCGGGGAAAGGGAGAGCCAGGAGCAAGACACAAUAAUGUAGCAGGGGAGGACACGGAGACUGUGUGACAGGGAAAUGUACAUGCAUCCUAUAUACAAGGCAUCGAACGGAAUGUUCCGGUCGUCCCUUGCAAUGAAAACUGGACGCUCCUCGGGAUUAUUUUUACGGGCAAUGUAAUAAACCUAGAGUUUAAAUUCUUCUCCA